rnacentral:rRNA from 1 species
UGGGGAAUUUUGGACAAUGGGCGAAAGCCUGAUCCAGCAAUGCCGCGUGUGUGAAGAAGGCCUUCGGGUUGUAAAGCACUUUUGUCCGGAAAGAAAUCCUUGGCUCUAAUACAGUCGGGGGAUGACGGUACCGGAAGAAUAAGCACCGGCUAACUACGUGCCAGCAGCCGCGGUAAUACGUAGGGUGCAAGCGUUAAUCGGAAUUACUGGGCGUAAAGCGUGCGCAGGCGGUUUGCUAAGACCGAUGUGAAAUCCCCGGGCUCAACCUGGGAACUGCAUUGGUGACUGGCAGGCUAGAGUAUGGCAGAGGGGGGUAGAAUUCCACGUGUAGCAGUGAAAUGCGUAGAGAUGUGGAGGAAUACCGAUGGCGAAGGCAGCCCCCUGGGCCAAUACUGACGCUCAUGCACGAAAGCGUGGGGGAGCAAAACAGGAUUAGAUACCCUGGUAGUCCACGCCCUAAACGAUGUCAACUAGUUGUUGGGGAUUCAUUUCCUUAGUAACGUACUAACGCGUGAAGUUGACCGCCUGGGGAGUACGGUCGCAAGAUUAAAACUCAAAUGAAUUGACGGGGU